UUUAGUUUUGUGUUCUGGAGGGAGGAAACGUAACAUUAAGGACAGAAGUAGUAAGACACCUGGCUACACUUUUAUGACAUCCUAGAUCUAGAAGCAUUAAUACAGAACUGGUCUCCUCUUUUCAGCUUCUGUCAUCCUAAUGGGCACUUAUGGGUUCAGGAACUGGUGUUGGAUGAAAAAGCCUGGCUUACAGUUCCCGUUCCACUCCAUCCAGAAGCUGCUGAAUGGGGUAGAGAGUUUCUAAGAAGUGGCAGAGAACAGCAACAUGGAGGAAACCACAGCAGGAACAGUGGAUGUUGGAUCGUCAAUAAUGUCAAACUUCUCACCAGUCUAUAGUUUAUAUGAGAAAAAUAAACACACGUGCUGAUA